UUUUUUGGAGUAUCAUAUUCAAAACAAAAUAUGUUGCACGACAACGGACAACGGAUCAAAUUUUGUCAAAGCCUUUCAAUAUUUUAAGAAAAGUGAAGAUGAUGAGGACUUUGAGGAAGUGUUUCAUAGUUUAAGUGAUCUUUUAAAUGUGGACGAUGUAGAAAAUGUAGAUGCAGAAAAUUUAUUGACACUUCCACCACAUCAUAGAUGUGUCAGCCACACUUUGAACCUUGUCGCAGUGAAAGAUUCUGAGAAAGCUUUAGACAGCGAUGCUGUAUACAAGAAAAAACAUAGAGUGACAUUUGCCAAAUUAGUAAAAUUGUGGAAUAAACAAAACCAAUCUACACAAACAGCAGAUAAAAUAAACGAAAUUUGUGGUGUA
rnacentral:lncRNA from 13 species